rnacentral:ncRNA from 2 species
CCAGUUUGCCGAAGUCAGGGUCUUCCGAGUCGCAUGCGGCUUGGAGGCUAAGAGGGAAGCCGGUGCGAUGCUCCAGAUGGAGUGCCAAGACCGGCGCUGCCCCCGCAACUGUGAACGGCGAGCGACUGUCGAUAAAGCCACUGGUCUUUGGACCGGGAAGGCGAGACAGAGGCGACGACCCGUGAGCCAGGAGACCUGCCCUGAUACUUGAAACGUC